GGAUGCGACAUACCAGCACUAAAGCACCGGAUCCCAUCAGAACUCCGAAGUUAAGCGUGCUUGGGCGAGAGUAGUACUAGGAGGGAAGUCCUCGUGUUGCAUUCC
rnacentral:rRNA from 1 species